UACGUAGGGUGCAAGCGUUAAUCGGAAUUACUGGGCGUAAAGGGCUCGUAGGUGGCCAACUAAGUCAGACGUGAAAUCCCUCGGCUUAACCGGGGAACUGCGUCUGAUACUGGAUGGCUUGAGUUCGGGAGAGGGAUGCGGAAUUCCAGGUGUAGCGGUGAAAUGCGUAGAUAUCUGGAGGAACACCGGUGGCGAAGGCGGCAUCCUGGACCGACACUGACGCUGAGGAGCGAAAGCCAGGGGAGCAAACGGG
rnacentral:rRNA from 1 species